rnacentral:rRNA from 1 species
GACGAACGCUGGCGGCGUGCUUAACACAUGCAAGUCGAACGGAAAGGCCCUGCUUUUGUGGGGUGCUCGAGUGGCGAACGGGUGAGUAACACGUGAUUAACCUGCCCUUGACUUUGGGUUAACUUCAGGAAACUGGGUCUAAUACCGGAUAGGAGCUCCUGCUGCAUGGUGGGGGUUGGAAAGUUUCGGCGGUUGGGGAUGGACUCGCGGCUUAUCAGCUUGUUGGUGGGGUAGUGGCUUACCAAGGCUUUGCCGGGUAGCCGGACUGAGAGGGUGACCGGCCACAUUGGGACUGAGAUACGGCCCAGACUCCUACGGGAGGCAGCAGUGGGGAAUAUUGCACAAUGGGCGGAAGCCUGAUGCAGCAACGCAGCGUGCGGGAUGACGGCCUUCGGGUUGUAAACCGCUUUCGCCUGUGACGAAGCGUGAGUGACGGUAAUGGGUAAAGAAGCACCGGCUAACUACGUG